GACGAACGCUGGCGGCGUGCUUAACACAUGCAAGUCGAACGGAAAGGCCCUGCUUUUGUGGGGUGCUCGAGUGGCGAACGGGUGAGUAACACGUGAGUAACCUGCCCUUGACUUUGGGAUAACUUCAGGAAACUGGGGCUAAUACCGGAUAGGAGCUCCUGCUGCAUGGUGGGGGUUGGAAAGUUUCGGCGGUGGGGGAUGGACUCGCGGCUUAUCAGCUUGUUGGUGGGGUAGUGGCUUACCUAGGCUUUGACGGGUAGCCGGCGUGUGAGGGUGACCGGGCACACGGGGGGUGAGCCGCCGUCAUGGGGACUACGGGAGGCAGCAGCCGCGAAUGGGGGACAGUGGGGGGAAGUCUGAUCCAGGGGGGGCGAGUGUGUGGCGAAAGCCCCCGGAGUGGGAUGCCGUCUUAGGGGUGAGAAACCGCUGUCACUUGAGACGAGGCUGUGGUGACGGUACUGGCAAAAGAAGCACCGGCUAACUACGUG
rnacentral:rRNA from 1 species